AAGACCUUACUUCAUAGGAUCAUUCCUAUAGUAAGCUCUUCCCGAGAUCUUCACAACAUAUAUCAGCUGUCCGAUACCCAUAAUACAGGCUUUGCCUAGCUUUGAUCGGU